AGCGCUGACGAUGGCAGCGCUACAACUGAUUAACAAGUACAUCUAUCAGAAUUUGUUUCCUGUGCCUUUUAAGUAAAUAAUAUUUGGUACAGCCACACUCUAAUAACAUUGAGGGGAAUUUUGCAGUAACAACCUCAUCUUUACCAUAAAUCUUCCAUCUCUGUAGCAUUCUGCCUGUGAAGGAGGCUUAGAUACAGCACGGCACACAGCGCUGGCAGAUGUGCUACGCCGGGCUGCUUUUGUUACCAUUAGUUCCCAUGAAAGAGAACUGUUGGCAAUUUUCAGAGACUGGCAGUUUACCAACCAUAACUAUUCUUGCCUUCCAAGAUUUCUUUAUCACAUGACAAAAUCUACCUACAAAAUCUCCAUGAGCUUGAAACCACUCGCCCCACUACCUGAGUUUAGAAGCCAUCCUGUUUUACCUGUGCCCCUUUGACUGCCAUUCCUAAGAGCUGCCAGGCAUUGGGGGCUGUUGGCUUUUAAUAAAAUCCCACAUAUUCCUUGCAGAGGUGGGGCUCACACACCUAUUCAGGGAGACAAACCUUGACCUUGGGCUAAUACCGAGUCUUAUUGCCUGGAACACCCGUUUUUCCAGCCUAAUGGAAACAAGGAACUUCUACGCACAGAGAAGCCAACACAUAACCUAAUUUCUUCCUUGUAGUACCAGGACUUGCAAAGGCGCAAAAUCCGCUGAGGAAACUGAACUAUCUGUGUGUGCACCUGUUUGUUCAUCGCUUUACAUGGAAAGGGUGUCUGAUAGAAGAUGCAUGCAGUAAAAUAUAACCAGCUUUCUUUGGGAAAUAUUUACGCUGCAGUUACUAUUUUUCUAAGCAGUUACUAUUUUUCAGAUUUAAAUCUCUCAUUCUCUUUCAUUUUGCUUUUUGAAAUUCCCAGACCAAGGGAAUCUCUCUACAGAUUAAUGCACCACCAAAUUUUCAGUAUUUCAUGUUUGGAAUAUGAGAGGGAGAAAAUCUCUCUGAAACCUAAAUAUUUUCCCCCUCUAAAGACCAGACCCAUUUUUGGGAAAAAAUAUGCAAAAGCAUUCUCCUCAGGCUGAAUGUUAUAUGCAGUUUCAGCUUAAAGCACAGCUUUAUAGCAGAUGUAUAAAACAAUCAAAAUUUGGGGAUUUGUGGGAAUACUAGCAGAUCUUUACUGUGAGUGCAGAGCAGAUCCUGACACACUAUAACACUGUUUUUGUCUUAAUCGUCAAAAGUAAGCUAUAGAGGACAAAAAAUUCUUUGUUUGACAGAAAAGCAAUUGCUAUUUCUUGUAAAACAUAUAAUAUAUUCCAGAAGACCUAAGGGUUUACUUUCCAAUACGGAUAGAAAAAGAUGUGCGCCCCACUGUGAGCUCGCAGUAAGGCUGUUUCAUGUAAAAAGUUGGUAAUUAGUCCCUGAGUGAAUAAAGUAGAAGAGAUAAGAGACCUAUACUUACUGUAAGCAACACAAAACACUUCUUCUAGCUGCUAGGAUUUAAAGGGUGUGUGGGUGGGAGGGGGGGACCUAUGCCUACUCAUUUAACUUACAAGUGUCUAAACCCUGGAAAAUUAUUUCUUACAUUAAGCUUAAACGUGUACUUCAAAUUGUUACUAACCGACGGAAAGAUUGGUCAGAGACAUGGCAAUUCGAAAAAGCAGACAGGAGUGAAAAAUUCUAUGAAAGCACAAGAGAGUGUUGUGUUGUACAUCGGUAGCAGAUUUCAUGCUCAUUGUACGCCACUGACUUCAGCAGGGUUACCCCAGCAUUACCUGGUGUUUCAGCAACCUACCGUGUUAGCAUUCAAAGGAUCCUUAUAGAAAAGGAAACACUUGGAAAACUAAACCACGUACCUGUGGCCAAAUUCAUCUAAUAAA